GAUGAACGCUGGCGGCGUGCCUAAUACAUGCAAGUCGAGCGAACGGACGAUAAUCUUGCUUCUCUGAUGUUAGCGGCGGACGGGUGAGUAACACGUGGAUAACCUACCUAUAAGACUGGGAUAACUUCGGUAAACCGGAGCUAAUACCGGAUAAUAUUAUGAACCGCAUGGUUCAAAAGUUAAAGACGGUCUUGCUGUCACUUAUAGAUGGAUCCGCGCUGCAUUAGCUAGUUGGUAAGGUAACGGCUUACCAAGGCAACGAUGCAUAGCCGACCUGAGAGGGUGAUCGGCCACACUGGAACUGAGACACGGUCCAGACUCCAACGGGAGGCAGCAGUAGGGAAUCUUCCGCAAUGGGCGAAAGCCUGACGGAGCAACGCCGCGUGAGUGAUGAAGGUCUUCGGAUCGUAAAACUCUGUUAUUAGGGAAGAACAUAUGUGUAAGUAACUGUGCACAUCUUGACGGUACCUAAUCAGAAAGCCACGGCUAACUACGUG
rnacentral:rRNA from 1 species